GCUGGGCGCAGUGGUGCUCCUGCAGUCCCGGGUCAUGGGGAGGCAGGAGGAUCUCUUGAGCCCGGGAGCUCUGGGCUGUGAUGCUGUAUGUUGAUUGGGUAUCUACACUGAGUUUUGCAUCAAUAUGGUGACCUCCUGGGAGCAGGGGACCACAGCGUUGCUUGAGGAGGGGUGAACAAGCCCAGGUCAAAAACAGAGCAGGUCAAAACUCCCGUGCUGAUCAGUGGUGGGAUCGCGCCGCGCCUACCAGUGGCCACAGCACCCUAGCCUGGGCAACAUCAUAGCAAGACCCCAU
rnacentral:SRP_RNA from 1 species